rnacentral:tRNA from 1 species
GGGUCGUUAGCUCAGUUGGUAGAGCAGUUGACUUUUAAUCAAUUGGUCGCAGGUUCGAAUCCUGCACCUCCCACAA